AGAUGUGAGGGCAAUCUGACUGUGUCAUCUGUCACCCCAUCAAUCGCUAAGGUUGACUCUGCUAAUCUGGCUGGCAAAGCAGGUAUCCCUGUCCUCACUCACCACUCCAUUCACAUCCCUCCCAAAGCUGCAAAGCUGUGCACUUGGUUGGUGGAAGAGGAGGACCAUUCUCCCAUUGGGAGUAGCUGCAUUCCCCUGCUAAAACCUCCAGACAAGCUCUCAAGUAUAAAAGAACAUAGGAUAGUCAGGCUUCCAAGACUCCAGACACAUCCAAAUGAGGUGCUACAUGUGGCACUCUGCUUUUCUUG
ensembl:misc_RNA 7SK 7SK RNA